GAAGAGCUCGCCUCCAGGAAGGAGGACAGCGUGCAGGCAGAAUCACCUCUGGGCCCUGCCGGGGUCGGAGAGGGAGAGAGAGGAGUCAGCUUGGGCGGAGGCGCCCUGGCUGCCGGCACCCGCAGAAGGAAAACUCGCCCAGGCACACGCGCUGCUGCCAGAGCCAAAUAUAACGCGCGCCCGGUCCCCUCAGGCCCCGCGCUCACCCACGAGCUCCGCGUGCCCUGAGGCCCGGCUCGGGCGCGGUCGAGCUGCGGGGUGGGAAGGACACGUGUGCCCACUCCGUGGCGCAGACAACACCGGGAGGCAGGACACGGGGAGGCGUGUGGUGUGGAGCUCCGGGCUCUGCUCUGGCCAGUCAGUCCCCUCUCAGGGCUUGGCGGAGGCCGGGGCGGCUUCUUCGGGCCUCCAGGCCCACCGUGACCAACCCGCGGCCAUCACCUCUGGAGCUUCCAGGUGCCCCAGGCUGGAGACUUGGGCAUGGCGAUUGUGGUUGCCACUCUCCUAGGCCGGCUCAGCAGGGCACAAGCCACCACCUGCUGUCCUCACCUGAAGGCAUCCUGAUGGGGCUGAGAGCCCACAUCCAGCAUGCGAGCCUCAGUGCUCAGGGCCAUGGUCUUGGGUCUGCACCUUGUUGCCAGCCCCUCACACAUAUGGCAGCAUCACACAUAUGGCUCCUUCUACCAACCGCCACUAAUCACCAUUUGCACAUUCCAUCACAGUGUUGUCAAGAAGAAAGAUUGCAA
rnacentral:lncRNA from 1 species